UACGUAGGGUGCGAGCGUUGCCCGGAUUUAUUGGGCGUAAAGGGCGCGCAGGCGGCUCGGCACGUCCGUUGUGAAAUCGCCCGGCUCAACUGGGCGGGGUCAGCGGAUACAGUCGAGCUUGAGCAAGCUAGGGGGCAAUGGAAUUCCCGGUGUAGUGGUGGAAUGCGUAGAUAUCGGGAGGAAGGCCGGUGGCGAAGGCGGCGCUCUGGAACGUUUCUGACGCUGAGGCUCGAAAGCGUGGGGAGCAAACAGG
rnacentral:rRNA from 1 species